AGGGUUUGAUCAUGGCUCAGGACGAACGCUGGCGGCGUGCCUAAUACAUGCAAGUCGAGCGGAGUCAUAAGAGAUGCUUGCAUCUCUAAUGACUUAGCGGCGAACGGGUGAGUAACACGUGGGUAACCUACCCAUCACAGGGGGAUAACAUUCGGAAACGGAUGCUAAUACCGCAUAGGUUCUUUGACCGCAUGGUCGAAGAAGGAAAAGAGGCCUUAGUGCUUCUGGUGAUGGAUGGACCCGCGGCGUAUUAGCUAGUUGGUGAGGUAAAGGCUCACCAAGGCAUUGAUACGUAGCCGACCUGAGAGGGUAAUCGGCCACAUUGGGACUGAGACACGGCCCAAACUCCUACGGGAGGCAGCAGUAGGGAAUCUUCCGCAAUGGACGAAAGUCUGACGGAGCAACGCCGCGUGAGUGAUGAAGGUCUUAGGAUCGUAAAGCUCUUUCGCCAGGGAUGAUAAUGACAGUACCUGGUAAAGAAACCCCGGCUAACUCCGUGCCAGCCGCCGCGGUAAUAC
rnacentral:rRNA from 1 species